UACGGGGGGAGCAAGCGUUGUUCGGAUUUACUGGGCGUAAAGGGCGCGUAGGCGGCCACCGCAAGUCGACUGUGAAAUCUCCGGGCUUAACCCGGAACGGUCAGCCGAUACUGCGGGGCUAGAGUGCAGAAGGGGCAACUGGAAUUCUCGGUGUAGCGGUGAAAUGCGUAGAUAUCGGGAGGAACACCAAUGGCGAAGGCAGCUCGCUGGGACGUGACUGACGCUGAGACGCGAAAGCGUGGGGGGCAAACAGG
rnacentral:rRNA from 1 species